rnacentral:rRNA from 1 species
UCUCACAAUAAAAUCCAUCUCACCCUUUUGUGCACCACCGCGUGGGCACCUUUUGGGAUCCAACCUAUCCUGGAGGGGGCUUGCGUUUUCACACAAGCCCCUUUUAAAAAGUGUAAAAUGACCCCAUUUUGCGAUGACACUCAAUCAAUACAACUUUAAACAACGGAUCUCUUGGCUCUCGCAUCGAUGAAGAACGCAACGAAAUGCGAUACGUAACGUGAAUUGCAGAAUUCAGUGAAUCAUCGAAUCUUUGAACGCACCUUGCGCCCCUUGGUAUUCCGAAGGGCACACCCGUUUGAGUGUCGAGAAAAUCUCAACCUUCUCGGUUUUCUUCUGGACACCGAAAGAGGCUUGGACUUUGGAUGCCUUUGCUGGCAUCUCUCUCUUUUUGACACCCAACUCCUCUUAAGCUAAUUAACGGGGUCCUCUUUGCCGAUCCUCGACAUGUGAUAAGAUGUUUCCAUGACUUGGUUUCUGGCUCUGUUGCCUUUGGGUUGGGACCCGCUUCUAACCGUCUCGACGAGACAACGUUUGGGCGUGUCUCCCUUCUCGGGAGACUCUCUCGACCCCACGAACCCUUGACCUCAAAUCGGGUGAGACUACCCGCUGAACUUAUGCAUAUCAAUAAGCGGAGGAAAAGAAACUAACAAGGAUUCCCCUAGUAACUGCGAGUGAAGCGGGAAAAGCUCAAAUUUAAAA